rnacentral:rRNA from 1 species
GAUGAACGCUGGCGGCGUGCCUAAUACAUGCAAGUCGAGCGAACAGACGAGGAGCUUGCUCCUCUUACGUUAGCGGCGGACGGGUGAGUAACACGUGGAUAACCUACCUAUAAGACUGGGAUAACUUCGGGAAACCGGAGCUAAUACCGGAUAAUAUAUUGAACCGCAUGGUUCAAUAGUGAAAGACGGUUUUGCUGUCACUUAUAGAUGGAUCCGCGCCGCAUUAGCUAGUUGGUAAGGUAACGGCUUACCAAGGCAACGAUGCGUAGCCGACCUGAGAGGGUGAUCGGACACACUGGAACUGAGACACGGUCCAGACUCCUACGGGAGGCAGCAGUAGGGAAUCUUCCGCAAUGGGCGAAAGCUUGACGGAGCAACGCCGCGUGAGUGAUGAAGGUCUUCGGAUCGUAAAACUCUGUUAUUAGGGAAGAACAAAUGUGUAAGUAACUAUGCACGUCUUGACGGUACCUAAUCAGAAAGCCACGGCUAACUACGUG